CAGAGAUAUUGCAGCCACUCAGAAGACAAUGAUCAGAAUUUGGUCUGGUUUGUGUCAGAGAACUUGAGUGACAGCUUAACUUGCAUCUGGUAUGGCACAUAGGACGUUGGGGAAACUUGAGGAACUGGAAAGAACUCAAUUGCUCCACUCAGCAAGUCAGUAGGAACGGUUUGGAGACCUCCCAGCUCUCUGACAAAGUGCUUCAAGGAAAACCAAAGCUGUACAACGAGAUCCCCUCUUCCCAGAGACUGUCAGCCUGUGUACGAUGUGAGGUGGGUUACAAACAUGUGCCACGAGGAGAAGCACUGGAGAGCGCACAACUCCAACAGCGCAGAGACCACAUCCCACAAAUAUUGCUGCUCCUGCUUCCUGACCUGCUUGAGUUCCAGUCCUGA